AUUGAACGCUGGCGGCAGGCCUAACACAUGCAAGUCGAGCGGAUGAAGGGAGCUUGCUCCUGGAUUCAGCGGCGGACGGGUGAGUAAUGCCUAGGAAUCUGCCUGGUAGUGGGGGAUAACGUCCGGAAACGGGCGCUAAUACCGCAUACGUCCUGAGGGAGAAAGUGGGGGAUCUUCGGACCUCACGCUAUCAGAUGAGCCUAGGUCGGAUUAGCUAGUUGGCGGGGUAAAGGCCUACCAAGGCGACGAUCCGUAACUGGUCUGAGAGGAUGAUCAGUCACACUGGAACUGAGACACGGUCCAGACUCCUACGGGAGGCAGCAGUGGGGAAUAUUGGGCAAUGGGCGAAAGCCUGAUCCAGCCAUGCCGCGUGUGUGAAGAAGGUCUUCGGAUUGUAAAGCACUUUAAGUUGGGAGGAAGGGCAGUAAGUUAAUACCUUGCUGUUUUGACGUUACCAACAGAAUAAGCACCGGCUAACUUCGUG
rnacentral:rRNA from 1 species